rnacentral:rRNA from 1 species
UACGGAGGGGGCAAGCGUUGUUCGGAAUUACUGGGCGUAAAGGGCGCGCAGGCGGCUGCUCAAGUCAGGCGUGAAAGGCCUGGGCUCAACCCGGGAAUUGCGCUUGAGACUGGGCUGGCUUGAGUGCGGGAGAGGAUGGUGGAAUUCCCAGUGUAGAGGUGAAAUUCGUAGAUAUUCGCAAGAACACCAGUGGCGAAGGCGGACUCACUGGCCCGAGUACUGACGCUGAGGCACGAAAGCGUGGGGAGCAACAGG